rnacentral:lncRNA from 1 species
UGAGUGCAGAGCACAGUACUGUGUGGGCUGCUGCAGGGAAAAGGUGACUCCAGCUCAGACAAACCCAACACAACAGAUUCUCAGGUUGCUUCUGUAUACAUGCUCACUUCUGACCCAAGAAAAGUCACACUCAGAAUGUUGUGGUGAUUUUAAUUGUUCACUCUUCACUUUGUUAUGAUUUCAUCAUCUUUAUAUUUGAACUUUUUUACUUUGAAAAGCGGCUAGGUAAAAGUAGUUCUACUUAACUCAGCUCUACUUCCCCUGGGUAUUUGGAGCUGCUGACCAACAUAAAGCUCUUUCAGUUAACCCUGUCUGAGUUAUAAAUGGGAGCCUCCGUCAGUCUUUUGGUCACCCUGUAUUUGGAAAGUGUUCCUCUCUGAGCAGCUGGACUCUUCAUUUUGCAUAUCUGUCUUGCACUUCAGGAUCCUCAGUCAUGUCAUCAGUUAAGGUCAUAGCGACUGCAGCAGUGCCCAAACAUCAAAUACUGUGGAGGACCAUGAGUAAGCUCAACUAGCAAUUUCUUGUACAUAAACAUUCAGCCAAAGGUGAUGGAAGGAUGAGCCAGUGACUCCCACAUUCCCAGCA